CAGCUCGCCCAAGGAUUUUUCUGUAGUGCCUAUGUUUAAUUUUUGAAGGAAAAAAGCAUAUCCUUAUAUUCUGUCAUGAAGAAAGAGGCUGGGAAACAAGAGAAACUGCUUCAAGAAAACAAAGAUUGACGUGUAUUGACUGUCAAUCCUACUGUCACAGUACUAGUCACUUGAUGCUGUCCUCAUGAAGGACACAUCAUUAAAAAGCUGACUGCAAGAAAAGCAUCAAACACAGUGAAUUUGCUAUUUUCCAUACGAAUAUGAGGCACCGAAUUCCAAGAGGAAAUAUAUGUAAUGGCCUACCUGAUGGAUCAUUAUUACCUGAUGCACGUGACUGUUCCAAGUUCUACGAGUGUGCUGGAGGAAUUCCAGUCUCGAUGGUAUGCCCAGCAGCGACUGUAUGGGAUGAAAAUAUCAAAACUUGUAAUUUUGCCAAUGAAGUUGACUGCCAUGCGACACAAUAGGAAUUCUGAAAAUUUUAUCACUUUAUUUAUCAACAAAAAUCAAAUUUGUGAGGCUAGCCUAGCUAACUACUUAUUUUUGACUUUUGAACAGUUUUGGAAGACAAUAUGAAAAAAUGUUGAAUUUUCCCAUCAAGAAGUGAAUAAAGGGAAUUCGGUGUGUG